rnacentral:rRNA from 1 species
GGGUUGUGAGGUUAAGCGACUAAGCGUACACGGUGGAUGCCUAGGCAGUCAGAGGCGAUGAAGGGCGUGCUAAUCUGCGAAAAGCGUCGGUAAGCUGAUAUGAAGCGUUAUAACCGACGAUACCCGAAUGGGGAAACCCAGUGCAAUACGUUGCACUAUCGUUAGAUGAAUACAUAGUCUAACGAGGCGAACCGGGGGAACUGAAACAUCUAAGUACCCCGAGGAAAAGAAAUCAACCGAGAUUCCCCCAGUAGCGGCGAGCGAACGGGGAGGAGCCCAGAGUCUGAAUCAGUUUGUGUGUUAGUGGAAGCGUCUGGAAAGUCGCACGGUACAGGGUGAUAGUCCCGUACACCAAAAUGCACAGGCUGUGAACUCGAUGAGUAGGGCGGGACACGUGACAUCCUGUCUGAAUAUGGGGGGACCAUCCUCCAAGGCUAAAUACUCCUGACUGACCGAUAGUGAACCAGUACCGUGAGGGAAAGGCGAAAAGAACCCCGGCGAGGGGAGUGAAAUAGAACCUGAAACCGUGUACGUACAAGCAGUGGGAGCACCUUCGUGGUGUGACUGCGUACCUUUUGUAUAAUGGGUCAGCGACUUAUAUUUUGUAGCAAGGUUAACCGAAUAGGGGAGCCGUAGGGAAACCGAGUCUUAACUGGGCGUCUAGUUGCAAGGUAUAGACCCGAAACCCGGUGAUCUAGCCAUGGGCAGGUUGAAGGUUGGGUAACACUAACUGGAGGACCGAACCGACUAAUGUUGAAAAAUUAGCGGAUGACUUGUGGCUGGGGGUGAAAGGCCAAUCAAACCGGGAGAUAGCUGGUUCUCCCCGAAAGCUAUUUAGGUAGCGCCUCGUGAACUCAUCUUCGGGGGUAGAGCACUGUUUCGGCUAGGGGGCCAUCCGGCUUACCAAACCGAUGCAAACUCCGAAUACCGAAGAAUGUUAUCACGGGAGACACACGGCGGGUGCUAACGUCCGUCGUGAAGAGGGAAACAACCCAGACCGCCAGCUAAGGUCCCAAAGUCAUGGUUAAGUGGGAAACGAUGUGGGAAGGCACAGACAGCCAGGAUGUUGGCUUAGAAGCAGCCAUCAUUUAAAGAAAGCGUAAUAGCUCACUGGUCGAGUCGGCCUGCGCGGAAGAUGUAACGGGGCUAAACCAUGCACCGAAGCUGCGGCAGCGACACUUAGGUGUUGUUGGGUAGGGGAGCGUUCUGUAAGCCGUUGAAGGUGACCUGUGAGGGUUGCUGGAGGUAUCAGAAGUGCGAAUGCUGACAUAAGUAACGAUAAUGCGGGUGAAAAACCCGCACGCCGGAAGACCAAGGGUUCCUGUCCAACGUUAAUCGGGGCAGGGUGAGUCGACCCCUAAGGCGAGGCUGAAAAGCGUAGUCGAUGGGAAACAGGUUAAUAUUCCUGUACUUGGUGUUACUGCGAAGGGGGGACGGAGAAGGCUAGGCUGGCCGGGCGACGGUUGUCCCGGUUUAAGCGUGUAGGGGGAGUGACCAGGUAAAUCCGGUUGCUUAUCAACCCUGAGGCGUGAUGACGAUGCACCACGGUGCAGAAGCAGUUGAUGCCAUGCUUCCAGGAAAAGCCUCUAAGCAUCAGGUAACAUUAAAUCGUACCCCAAACCGACACAGGUGGUCAGGUAGAGAAUACUCAGGCGCUUGAGAGAACUCGGGUGAAGGAACUAGGCAAAAUGGUGCCGUAACUUCGGGAGAAGGCACGCUGGCGUUAGGUGAAAGGACUAGCUCCUGGAGCUGAAGCCAGUCGCAGAUACCAGCUGGCUGCAACUGUUUAAUAAAAACACAGCACUGUGCAAACACGAAAGUGGACGUAUACGGUGUGACGCCUGCCCGGUGCUGGAAGGUUAAUUGAUGGGGUCAGCCGCAAGGCGAAGCUCUUGAUCGAAGCCCCAGUAAACGGCGGCCGUAACUAUAACGGUCCUAAGGUAGCGAAAUUCCUUGUCGGGUAAGUUCCGACCUGCACGAAUGGCGUAAUGAUGGCCAGGCUGUCUCCACCCGAGACUCAGUGAAAUUGAACUCGCUGUGAAGAUGCAGUGUACCCGCGGCAAGACGGAAAGACCCCGUGAACCUUUACUAUAGCUUGACACUGAACAUUGAGCCUUGAUGUGUAGGAUAGGUGGGAGGCCUUGAAGUGUGGACGCCAGUCUGCAUGGAGCCAACCUUGAAAUACCACCCUUUAAUGUUUGAUGUUCUAACUCGGCCCCAUGAUCUGGGGUGAGGACAGUGUCUGGUGGGUAGUUUGACUGGGGCGGUCUCCUCCCAAAGAGUAACGGAGGAGCACGAAGGUUAGCUAAUCACGGUCGGACAUCGUGAGGUUAGUGCAAAGGCAUAAGCUAGCUUGACUGCGAGAGUGACGGCUCGAGCAGGUACGAAAGUAGGUCUUAGUGAUCCGGUGGUUCUGAAUGGAAGGGCCAUCGCUCAACGGAUAAAAGGUACUCCGGGGAUAACAGGCUGAUACCGCCCAAGAGUUCAUAUCGACGGCGGUGUUUGGCACCUCGAUGUCGGCUCAUCACAUCCUGGGGCUGAAGUAGGUCCCAAGGGUAUGGCUGUUCGCCAUUUAAAGUGGUACGCGAGCUGGGUUUAGAACGUCGUGAGACAGUUCGGUCCCUAUCUGCCGUGGGCGUUGGAAGAUUGAGAGGGGCUGCUCCUAGUACGAGAGGACCGGAGUGGACGAAUCACUGGUGUUCGGGUUGUCAUGCCAAUGGCAUUGCCCGGUAGCUAAAUUCGGAAGAGAUAACCGCUGAAAGCAUCUAAGCGGGAAACUUGCCUCGAGAUGAGUCUUCCCUGGGGCUUAAAGCCCCCUGAAGGAACGUUAAAGACUAUGACGUUGAUAGGCUGGGUGUGUAAGUGCAGCGAUGUAUUGAGCUAACCAGUACUAAUGAUCCGUGAGGCUUAACCUUACAACACCGAAGGUGUUU